rnacentral:rRNA from 1 species
UACGGAGGGUGCAAGCGUUGUUCGGAAUUAUUGGGCGUAAAGCGCGUGUAGGCGGUUCGUUAAGUCUGAUGUGAAAGCCCUGGGCUUAACCUGGGAAGUGCAUUGGAAACUGGCGAACUUGAGUAUGGGAGAGGAAAGUGGAAUUCCGAGUGUAGGGGUGAAAUCCGUAGAUAUUCGGAGGAACACCAGUGGCGAAGGCGGCUACCUGGCCGUCGAUUGACGCUCAUGUGCG